rnacentral:rRNA from 1 species
UACGUAGGGGGCAAGCGUUGUCCGGAUUUAUUGGGCGUAAAGAGCGUGUAGGCGGCCGUACAGGUCAGCUGUGAAAACUCGAGGCUCAACCUCGAGACGUCGGUUGAAACCGUACGGCUAGAGUCCGGAAGAGGAGAGUGGAAUUCCCGGUGUAGCGGUGAAAUGCGUAGAUAUCGGGAAGAACACCCGUGGCGAAGGCGGCUCUCUGGGACGGUACUGACGCUGAGACGCGAAAGCGUGGGGAGCGAACAGG